rnacentral:misc_RNA from 1 species
AACAAGGCGUACCUGCGGACCUGCGGAGGGAUCAUUACGAAAUUCUCGGGGGGUGCGACCUGUCACGGCCUGCGCCCCCGCUGGAAGCGCCGGAAGGCGUCUGACAGCGCAGCCCUUUGUGAAAUUCCCCCGUUGCUUCGGCAGCCCCUCCCAAGGAGCUGUAAGCCUGCCGGCGGCAUUGUGGAAACUCAUCCUGAAAACCUGCACCCUCUGUCUGAACAGCGCAGUCGAAUGACUAUA